UACAGGGGGUGCAAGCGUUGCUCGGAAUUACUGGGCGUAAAGCGCACGUAGGCGGAUCGUUAAGUCGGGGGGUGAAAUCCUGGAGCUCAACUCCAGAACUGCCUUCGAUACUGGCGAUCUAGAGUCCGGAAGAGGUGAGUGGAACUCCUAGUGUAGAGGUGGAAUUCGUAGAUAUUAGGAAGAACACCGAAGUGGCGAAGGCGACUAC
rnacentral:rRNA from 1 species